CUGGGUGAAAUUAGUAAGUGUUGUUGCAACACUGACAUGGUUGAAGUCACCUGAGAUUAAUAUGAGUGUACUCAGGUGUUGAGUCUGGAGUUGUGCUAUGGUGAUUUGAAUGGUGUUGCAUGCCAAUGCCGGGUUAGCAGAGGGGGGGAUGUAAACAGCCACAACAAUGGCAUGUGAGAAUUCAUGUGGCAGAUAAUAUGGCCGGAGUCCCACAGCUAACAGUUCAAUGUCCGGGUUACAGAUACUCACAGAUACUUGAUAGUAAUGUGACCAGGGUUACACCAUCUGUUGUUGACCAGCACAGUAAGCCCGCCUUUCCGUUUACCGCUCCCGGCAUGAUCCCUAGCUCAUCCAUUUUAUUUGCCAUUGAUCUCACAUUGCCCAUGACAAGAGAAGGCAGACACGGCUUAAAUCUCUUGUUCUUAAGUCUCUAUUGUCUGGACCCCUCUCUCUUCCUCUCUCUCUGCCUUGCCGCUUUGUUCCACCUCUGCAUCCUCAGUGUGUCCUCCUCCAGUUCUCAGUGGGGACAUUGGUUGUCCUGGGCGCCAUGCUGCUCGGCUUCAGCAUGAUCAGCUGUUCCUAGUGUAAAGAAUGCGGCCAAACAGCUGUUCUGCAGUGGUGCCCUGACCGAGUAGCAGGAGAAGAAGUUUCACGGCGAAAAAAACCCCCCAAAAUAUAUUCUACUCUAAUUUUCAUAAAGAGUGUAGUUUAAAUUACACUUACACAACAGUUACUCAAGUUUUGAAGAAAAAGGAAAGCUAAACAUUGGAAAAAGUAAGACGGCGAGACGGAGCAACGGCAACAGGCAGUCUGCACGUUUGUGCAUGCGCACUAAAUGAUAUACGAUUUUAUCGCGGAUCGGGAUAAAAAACCCUUGUUAAAGGAUAAUUUCUGUAUUUCUUACGUCAGUGGUAAAUUAUAUGUGUGAUAGUUAGCCUCUACUCCCCCGGAUCCCUGUGUGCUCUAGUGUGCUUUUGCUUUCCUUGUGUUUCUUGGGUGUCCCCUGUUCGUUGCUGUUUGUAUGUGUGUGUGUGUGUGUGUGUGUGUGUGUGUGUGUGUGUGUUCUAGUCUGGCUUCCUGGUCUCACACCUGCUGCUGAUCUCCGGCACACCUGACAUCAAUCAUUCAUCAGUCUCCACAGCAUAUCUAUCAGGCUCUACCACACUACCAGCAUGUCUCCAUACACUUAGCUAUUCUCUGCCGGUGAUCACAGCUACAGUCUCCCCUCGGAUCACUGUAAGACUGUCCCUGUACCAACGGCCAUGAUACACUAGCCAGCUGCCUUGCCUGCUCUGCCAACCUCACCUCCUGAGCCUGCUGCCUCUCGGGUCCAACCUACUUCCCCCACGGAUCCGCUGCCUGGCCAGUUCACCAGCCAGUCCAGAGCCUGCUUCCCCUAUCUCCGUCCAGAAUGUUGCCGCGUCCUCUGAGUCGACAGAGAGCUACGCACAGUUAUUAUAACAGCUCCAAUAAAGAUUGUAACUAACUAAA